CUCGGAGGCGCCGGCUGCUGGCCAACGCAGGGCAGCCUCCUGCGUGCGUGCUGUGGGUUUCUCCUUCAGUUUCCUCUCAUUGCCUGAGGUUGGGCCCGAACACGGCGGUACAUUUCCUUGAGAGUCUUCUACAUUCAUGCUGUAGAAGCUAUGAAAGUCGUGGGAAACUAUAGAGUCAACACUGCAAACUCAAGCACUGAUACGUCCGGAGAGCACUUGACCUGCCUUAGAAGAAAUGAGAAAGUUAACCCUCAAAGCCAUAUAGAAUUGCAAGGAGCUCCAAAAUGCCAAACAAUAUUGAAAAAGAAGAAUAAAAUUGGAGGACUCAUAAUUUCUGACUUCAAAACUUAACUAUAAAGCUACAGUGAUAAAAACACUGUAGUACUGUAUAAAGUAGACAUAAAAAAUCAAUGGAAAUAAACCAAUACAUAUAUGGCUAAUUGAUUUUUGACAAAGAUGCCAAGACUAUUCAAUAGGAAAAGAAUGGUCUCUUCAAUAAUGUUUCUGGGAUAAGUACACAUGCACACACAAAAGUGAAAUUGGACUCCUACUUUACACCAUAUGCAAAAAUUAACUCAAGAUGGAUCGGUGGCCUGCAUGUAAGUGCGAAACCUUAAUACUCUUAGAAGAAAACAUUGGGGUAAGUUUUUAUGGCCUUGGGCUCAAUAAUGGAUUUUUAGAUAGGACACCAAAA
rnacentral:lncRNA from 10 species